rnacentral:tRNA from 1 species
GCCGGGAAUAGCUCAGUUGGUAGAGC